rnacentral:rRNA from 1 species
GACGAACGCUUGCGGCGUGCCUAAGAAAUGCAAGUCGAGCGAGGUUUAGGCUUCGGCCGACGACCUAGCGGCGAACGGUCGCGUAACACGUAAGCAACCUGCCCUAAAGUUGGGGAUAGCCCGCCGAAAGGCGGAUUAAUACCGAAUGUGGAUAUGAUUUCGCAUGUGAUUAUAUCUGAAGCAGCGAUGCGCUUUAGGAUGGGCUUGCGGCCUAUCAGUUAGUUGGUGUGGGUAACGGCCUACCAAGACGACGACGGGUAGCUGGUCUGAGAGGAUGGUCAGCCGGAUUGGGACUGAGACACGGCCCAGACUCCUACGGGGGGCAGCAAUUAGGAAUCUUGCGCAAUGGGCGAAAGCCUGACGCAGCGACGCCGCGUGACUGAUGAGGUCUUUCGAGAUGUAAAGGUCUUUUGUUGGGGACGAAGGAGUGACGGUACCCGACGAAUAAGCCCCGGCUAACUACGUGCCAGCAGCCGCGGUAAAAUAGCGUACUCUGAGCGGGCU